AAAGGGAAAAACCCCAUUUCUUUAGGGUUUAUUCGAGCUGUCCGUGACUUACGCGAUUUCAUAGAGGAGCUGUUUUGAAACAUCUCCAGUUAACGGUUUGAACAACAACAACAACAACAACUAAAAAAUGAGUCAAAUCAAUCUACCAUUUGAAGUUGGUCAUACUGUAGAGUUAAGAUCUUUUGAAUCGGGGUAUCGUGGAGCUUGGUUUCGAUGCAAGCAUUCUGAAGAUAUUCCAUAAAAGGACAGCACUAUGCUAUGAUGUGGAGUAUCUUGAUUAUCCCGGAGAGAGU